rnacentral:rRNA from 1 species
AUGGCGUUCGUGGUCUUUGUGAUGGGUAAUCUGUUUGCCCCGUGCACCAAGCACGACCACUCGAUCAUCGACUACUGGGGUGCCAUCAGUGAUACCGACAACAUCGCACUAUUCAAUUGGUGCAAGUAUUCAUUUGAAGGUUUAUUGGAAGCAAUUGCUAAACUGAAGUUGGAAACAGAUGCAAACAUAUCUGUCAACAACUUGUCCGGGUGCCACCUUUUUCUGCAGGUUUUUGUACUAGACAAUGUAGAUCUGGGCAUUCUCAACUUGAAGCAGACCAAGAUACCACGGAUAGAGUUGUUCGACGGGGCGACCCUGAAACUGAUGAUCCUAAUGUGCUCAGUAAGAAAGGACGGGAAAAACAUUUACAUAUUACCUGAGGCAAGACACGGGACUGCCGUGUGCUACACCAGACACAACUAUGUAAAUGUGAAACACGCCAAGAGAGCAAUAGAGGACAAGGCAGAAGGUUCAGCAAAUAUGUAUGCAGUGGUGACACACAACCCAGAUGUCGGAAAAUAG